GGCCCAUUCUACCAUGCUUGGGAGGGAGGCCAGCGUGUUGGCAUGGCAUGGUGGGCAGACUGCUGGGCCUGUCCGGAGGGGAGAGCAGGGCCAAGGCAAGGCAGAAUAUGAGCUCUUUGAUGGUAGGAGCCACUAUGUCUUUGUACUCUCAACCUUAUAUAGUUCCUGGAACAUGAUAUCACUGGGAUUGAAUACAUGGAACUGAAUCCAACUGAAUUGAAAGCCCUGGUGCCUAGCACAAUGCCUGGCAUACAAUAGGCACCUGAUAAGUACUUUUAAUAAACGUUCAGAACUAAACUCA
rnacentral:lncRNA from 1 species